rnacentral:lncRNA from 1 species
AAGAUGGUCAUCUUGUGCUCAAGCAAACAGAAGUCCUCUGAUGGUCUCAUCAGCCAAAUGAGGGGUUUUGACCAAGUGAUGCUCUUGAAAGGAGUGAAAGAAGAGGAUGUGGUAAAUUGUCUUCAGAGAAAAAGCUUCUCAAAAGAUCUUAAAACAGCUUGAAGAAUGGUCUAGGAUCUUAGGACUGAGAGAUCUCACUGGCACCCAGUUAACCUUCAUAGAGAACAUUUAUCAGAAGCGCUGUCUGGGUAGGGCAAGAAACAUCAUCAAGGAUGCCUCUCACCCUAACCAUGGACUUUUCACCCUCCUUCCAUCCGGCAGGCGUUACAGGAGCCUACGCUCUCGAACUAGUAGGCUCAGGAAGAGCUUCUUCCCCGAGGCUGUGACACUCCUGAACACCGCACCACCAAUCUAACCUGCACCUGCUCUUUUACUGCACUGGUCACAGUACUUUACAUACAUGUAUUGCACUACUCAUAUUUUG